CUGGAGCCAUCUUUAUCUCUCUCUGACUGCACACUGACCUCACCAGGAUUGUAUUCACCACCACCCCCCCCCAUAGACUCCUCAGCGGAUUUGUUGUGUGCUCUGCAUUCUUUCUCACUCAUACCAGAAACCAUGCCUAAAGAGGAGGCAUCGGCCUUGCCAUACUGGGAAGAAAGGUCCCCACGUGCAGCGUUAAGAAGUCUGCGGAGGCAGAUGACGGUGCAGCUUACUUCCUCAUGUCUUGACACUACAACUGAAGGGAGCAACAAAGCACCUUGGUCAAAGUUCUGCCAUUCUGACUUCAGACUCCAUUUUACCUGUAGGACAAAGUUCAGGUUCCCCAGAGAAACAGCUAAUCUGGGCUCAUAGGAACUCACUGUCUCUGAACUGAUAGCUAGGGAGCCUGCAUUGGACACAUCUAGGUGCUCUCCAUAGGUGACAGUUGUGUAACUUGGUCUAUUUGUGGGACUCCUAGCAGCGGGAUCAGGGCCUGUCCCUAAUGUUUGAGCUGACUUUUUGGAACUUAUUUCUCAUACUGGGUUACUUCACCCAGUCUUAAUACAAGGGGAGGAGCUUAGGCCUACCUCGACUUGAUAUGCCAUGCUUUGUUGACUCCCAUGGGAGGUCUGCUCCUUUCUGAACAGAAACAGGAGGAGUGGAUAGGGAGAAGGGCAGUAGGGAGGUGGGGGAUGGAAAUGGAGGAAAGGAGGGAGAGAAAACUGUGGUUGGAUAUAAAAUAAAUGAAAAAAUUAAUAAUAAAGUUCAGGUUCCCAAGCCCUAGGGUAGCUGAAACCUUUCCAAUGGCUGACCGACCACCUCCGUAAACCAUAGACAUAGUCAUUGUGUCUCUUUAGUUCUCUAGAACAUGGUUGUUCUUAACAGAGGGAACAAAGGAGUCUGGUUGGUUGGACUGAAAGGCUUGCAUUGUUUGUCAGUUGACGAUGAUGGAACUUCACACAAAGAAUGUCCCUAAUUUUUGAUUCCUGAUUGGUGAAAAUUGUAGCUGUAAUUUGACAAUAAAUGUCUGUAAUUUUAUGCUUAUAGACCCCUCUUCUGGCCUUGCUCAGGGCUGUCAGGAGAAACACAGCUUCCAAGUCUUUGUCCUGCAGCCAUCAGGACAUCCAUCAGUGACUGCUUAUGUGGUGAAUUAUUAAAAUAUUUGAGACCA